GAGUAAUAGAAGAAGAGUAAAACCAAAAACAGCCCACGCAAGGCCUUGGGGAUGGGGGGUUUCUACUCUGCAGCUUGCACACUCUAACUUGUUCACUUUCAAAUUCCAAAUUGCAAAUCCCAAAACCAAAACCCUAGGAGAGAGACACGGAGACACGGAGACACUGAAUGAUUGAUUGAUGGCAUCUUCCAAGUUAAUGGCUUCUUCCCAUUCACGGAACUCAGAGUCCUCCUCUCCUUCUCCCACGCCUCAAUUUACCACCACCAACUUCAUCCCCAUCUCCGACGCCGCCGUCACCGCCGCCCCCAAGACCGUCGAUGAUGUGUGGCGGGAGAUCGUGGCCGGAGACCGCCGCGAAUGCAAGGAAGAGGCUCCUGACGACGAGAUGAUGACUCUCGAAGACUUCCUCGCCAAGGCCGGCGCAGUCGACGAUGACAACAAUGAAGAAGUCGAUUGCGACAUGAAGAUUCCAAUGCCCCUCACGGAGAGGCUUGGCAGCGGCGUCUUCGCCUUCGAUCCCCUCCUCGCCGCGACGCCGUUUCAGGAUGGAGUGGAAGGCUCCGUCAUAGGGUUCGGGAACGGCGUGGAGGUGGUUGAAGGCGGGAGAGGAAAGAGAGCACGUCCCGUUUUGGAACAGUUGGAUAAGGCAGCGCAACAGAGACAGAGGAGGAUGAUUAAAAACAGAGAAUCUGCUGCUAGGUCUCGGGAACGCAAGCAGGCUUACCAAGUGGAAUUAGAGUCCUUGGCGGUGAAACUAGAGGAGGAAAACGACAAGCUCUUGAAGGAAAAGGAGACAAUAAGUUUUGUUAUGUGUUGAACUUGAAAGUUGAAACCCUUCCAGUGCUGACUUUUCGUUUUUGGUUUGAUUUGGCUGAUCAUUGAUUGGGUUUUUGGCCUGGUCUUGUUCCCUGACCUGGUUCCGUUACCUUGCUGUUGGGUGCUAUCUAUUAAUAUUUCGGAUUGCAUUGAUGGACUUUCCUUUCGUAAACACGCUUCCAGGCCGAGAGGAAAAAAGAGAGGUACAAGCAGCUAAUGGAAAAAGUACUCCCUGUAGCGCAGAAACAAAAGCCGCCGUGUAUACUCCGUAGGGCUCGCUCCUUGCAGUGGUAGAUAAAAUUUGCUAGUUGUGCAGCUGCAUGACAGUUACUGAAUUAGUCCCAUCAGUGGUGGGGGAAGUAAUAACAGGACCAAACUAAUCAUCAUGUCUUAAAUGAUAGUUCUCAGCCUAACGGUUAGUGUCAAGGGCGAUCUUGUUUAAUGAUACGAAGAGAUAGAUAGAAGGAAUUGAAUCGGAAGGGCUAAGGAAAAUUCCUUAUUGCGUGAGAAACAGCAGUUACUUAUUCGUAGGUGUAAAAACAGAAAUAUGGAGUUGGAUCAUGUAGUUUUAGAUGAGUUUGACUUCCUGGUCUCUCUCCCCUAUGCAGUGUCAAUGUGUAAUAGUAGAUAGCAAAGGGGAUUUGCAGACGAGUAUAUAUCUUUAUUUGGAGAAAAGUCUAUAGAAAUUGUUAAUGCGACCUGUAAAAGCGUUAUAGUAUGGAAAAUUCUUGUGCGUGUGAAAGAUAAUCUCUGAUGUCCGGAGAUACGGGAGUAUUUCAGUCUCAACUUAAGAACCCGAUUCUGUUGUAAAAUACCAACGAGCGCUGUUCUUGACGCGAAUAAUUUAUUGAUUUUAUUGUAAUUCUUUUUUGUUAUCCGUAGGCCUCUUUUAGAAAACCGAAGUUAAUUAUAAUGAUUCUAUAAAUUGACAGAGUUCUUGAGAAGCGAGAGGCAAAUGAGGAGAAAAUAUUAAAUAGACCAAAGACAAUAAAUAUGAUGCUUCCUCUUUGUCGUUGCUAUCCUUGUGGUCUCGUUAUCUGUAUGUUGGACCACGUGCUGAGAUUAAAUGAAAGCAAAGCUGCCACCUUAGGGAAAGACAUGGAGCCUUAUGUUUUUUACUGUCCCUACUUCCAUAGAGCAAUUGUUGUACCAUUUUACAGCAAGAACAUUACUCACAAUUGUCAAUGUUAAAAAUUAAAGUCACAGUUCUGUAGUUCAGAGCUCU